GCUGCUGGGGAGGCAUCAGGCCGGGCUUUACUGAUUCCCUAGGUGUGGCACACUACAGUGUGGAGGAGGAGAGUCUUCGGUGUGGGGUAGUGGGGAAGCUGCCCACCGUCAAAGAGCACUUCUGAAGAAGGACCAGGUCUGGGAAAGAUGCUAAAGAAAAUAAUGAGUAUGCCUCAGAUGGUGGUGGAGAAGGACCUGCAACAUUAACACCCAGACUGGAGUCUCAGCACAGUCGCUUACAGAAGGCAUGCACUUUGAAAUGCAGCACGGUAUACUGUCAGUUGCCUUGGUGAAUCUUAAGUGGCCACCCCCCUCUUGAGACAAGGUCUCUCUCUCUGUAGUAGCCCUUAUGAUGUAGACUGAGCAGGUCUUGAAUUCCCAGAGAUCUUCUGCCUGUCUCCAGAGUGCUGGGAUCAAAGGUAUGCACCACCACACCCAGCCCCACUCCCGCUUUGAAGGACAGAGCCUGGCUAUGCAGCUCAGGCUAGCCAAGGACUUAAGAUCUUUACCUUUUCCCUCCAAACGCUAAGAAGACAGGAAUCUACCAGCACAGCUAGCUUAGUCUUCAGCCUUUUUUCUUUCGUUUGUUUGUUUUUUGAGAUCUCACUAUAUACCUUUGGCUAGCCUGGAACUGACCAGACUGACCUUGAACUCAGAGAGAUCCACCUGCCUCUACCUUCUAAGUGCUGCGGUUAAAGAUUCACUCCCAACUCCAUCACACCUUUAGCCUCUGAAUUUGGUACUGGCGACUGCUGGAUGCUUGGACCCCGAAUGAGGCAGCUGUAUCUUGUGGAGCAUCUGCACUCAGGAUUACACUCAGGAAUACUCCUGCCCACCACAGUUGGUGCAGCUCUGUUCCCACAGCACCCUACUCUAACCUCCUGUUCUGUGGAAAACCAGCCUUUCCAGACAGGGGAUUGUGGGUCAGCAAUGACUUCCUUGGAGCUAUUUAUAUUUUACUAGAAAAUUUCUGGUAAUAUUACCAGUGUCUUCAUCCAAGUAAAUCUAUCUCCAGUGCAGGGAAUUUGAGGUAUGUGACAUGACAAGCCAUGAAGAUAAUUUUGCCUGGGAGAGGGGUUCCCUUCCAACAUCCCCUCCCCCUGCAAGAGGCUGCACAUUUUAUAAGACAUCCUUGUUUGGUUGCCUCAUGUCUGUUUCCUUGUCUGUAAAUAAAUAGAGAGGAUGGUUUUAUAACUGUUUCCUGCUCUAACGUUUCCAGUUCCAUGAAAUAAAUGAUUUCUCAGUA